rnacentral:snoRNA from 1 species
CGUUAAUGAUGUAAUCUAUCCCGAAGCUGAUUACCUGAAGAAAAAUAUUGAUUGCAGGAU